AACGCACAUUGCACUGAAAGGCAACUUUCAGUAUGUCUGUCAGUCUGAGUAGGACAAAACCUCUCGCAAGGAGCAUGGGAUGAAGACGCGAGUCUUGCCCUUAAAACUAUGAAUUGUCCAAUCAUAGUUUAUACUAGCUCUGCAUGAUGCAAAUCUAGCAAGGCGAGCAUGAAGUGGGCGAAUUAUGAAAGGGAGUUGACUGUGGGAUGAUAAAUUGAGUUAUUGUAUUGAUAGCGUGAAUAGGAUUGAUUGUGGCCUAAAAGCCUUUUGCAAUUCUAUGAGAUGUAUUUAUAACUGCUUGAGUCAUUGGGGAGAUGCUUAACAGCACCUUCCACCUGCAAUCUCAAUUCCAUCACAACAAUUCAUUCAGAGCAGGCAAGAGUAUCCGCUGAACUUA
rnacentral:misc_RNA from 1 species